UGUCGUUUGUAAGUGCGUAAGGGCGCAUGGUGGAUGCCUUGGCACUGGGAGCCGAUGAAGGACGUGGGAGA
rnacentral:rRNA from 1 species